GACAGAGGCCUCAAGCGUUAGGCGGAAUUACUGGGCGUAAAGCGCACGUAGGCGGCUUUGUAAGUUAGAGGUGAAAGCCCGGGGCUCAACUCCGGAAUUGCCUUUAAGACUGCAUCGCUAGAAUUGUGGAGAGGUAAGUGGAAUUCCGAGUGUAGAGGUGAAAUUCGUAGAUAUUCGGAAGAACACCAGUGGCGAAGGCGACUUACUGGACACAUAUUGACGCUGAGGUGCGAAAGCGUGGGGAGCAAACAGG
rnacentral:rRNA from 1 species